GACGAACGCUGGCGGCGUGCCUAAUACAUGCAAGUCGACCUUAGUGGCGGACGGGUGAGUAACCCGUUGUAACCUACCCAUCAGAGGGGGAUAACACUUGGAAACAGGUGCUAAUACCGCCUACUGAUGUAUGUACCCGCGGUGCAUUAGCUAGUUGGUGGGGUAACGGCCUACCCAGGCGACGAGCCGUACCUGGUCUGAGAGGAUGAUCAGCCACACUGGAACUGAGACACGGUCCAGACUCCUACGGGAGGCAGCAGUGGGGAAUAGUGGACAAUGGGCGAAAGCCUGAUCCAGCCAUGCCGCGUGUGUGAAGAAGGUCUUCGGAUUGUAAAGCACUUUAAGUUGGGAGGCGUUACCAACAGAAUAAGCACCGGCUAACUUCGUGCCAGCAGCCGCGGUAAUAC
rnacentral:rRNA from 1 species